AUGGCGGCCGAGAGUGCGUCGUACAAGGCCCGGUAUGGGCACGCUCUGAUGAUCUUCGAUCAGACGGUGUAUGCGCGUCUUGUUCCUUGCAGUCCGAUUCGUCGACAUAUGCCGAACCAAUGACCGGAACAUCCCGUGCGUUUCUGAUGAUCUCUGGAGAGAGAGAGAGAGAGUACGGCCAGAGGCUCUCAGGAUGAGGAAAAGUAUACUCGUGUUUUUUUUCUUUUGGGAUCCAAAG
rnacentral:lncRNA from 1 species